rnacentral:rRNA from 1 species
UACAGAGGGGGCAAGCGUUGUUCGGAAUUACUGGGCGUAAAGGGCGCGUAGGCGGCCUGCUAAGUCGAACGUGAAAUCCCUGGGCUCAACCCAGGAACUGCGUCCGAUACUGGUUGGCUUGAAUCCGGGAGAGGGAUGUGGAAUUCCAGGUGUAGCGGUGAAAUGCGUAGAUAUCUGGAGGAACACCGGUGGCGAAGGCGACAUCCUGGACCGGCAUUGACGCUGAGGCGCGGAAAGCCAGGGGAGCAAACGGG